rnacentral:rRNA from 1 species
UUGACCUCGGAUCAGGUAGGGAUACG